rnacentral:rRNA from 1 species
UACGUAGGGUGCAAGCGUUGUCCGGAAUUAUUGGGCGUAAAGAGCUCGUAGGCGGUUUGUCGCGUCUGCUGUGAAAACUCGGGGCUUAACUCCGGGCCUGCAGUGGGUACGGGCAGACUAGAGUGCGGUAGGGGAGACUGGAAUUCCUGGUGUAGCGGUGAAAUGCGCAGAUAUCAGGAGGAACACCGGUGGCGAAGGCGGGUCUCUGGGCCGAUACUGACGCUGAGGAGCGAAAGCGUGGGGAGCGAACGGG